UGACAUUGUAUCUAAGGCGCUAAAAGCCAACACUCAAAGCAGGAUUGUAAAAAAGAGAGGUCGCACAAUAUUCGACCUGAUACGAAAUGAUAAGAGUCAAGUACCUGAAGAUAGAAAGGCUGGGGUGUACAGUAUUCCAAUAUAUAACACUGAUGAGAGGUGCUCCCAGCAGUGCAUGGGUGGCGCGGGGAGAAACUUAGGGACACGGCUUGCAGAGCAUCGAAUGGAUGUUGAAGGGGGAAGAUUGGGUGCGGCCCUGGCGAGGGGGACCUAUGAGCGGGACAUCGCUGUAAUGUGGAGGGACGCUGGGGUUGUCGGGCGGGUCUGGGAGGUUGGUGCUCUCAGUGCUGCGGAGAUGAUUGGGAUUGGUCGCCGAGGGGCCCACCUGGGGGUUGUCAGUGAUAGUCGGCCUGUUGAGCUGGCACAUGCUUGGAUGUGGGCGCUCAACAUAGGCAUGUGGAUCCCCAAUGACGUAUGAGUGGUGGUGCGGUUGAUCUUGUCCCGUGUUGUUCUUAGUUUUUUGUGUGUGUUGGGU
rnacentral:lncRNA from 1 species